rnacentral:lncRNA from 1 species
UAAAAGGUCCCGGACGAUCGAGGUAAGUGAAUUUUAAGCUCCUUAUUUAUUUUGAAAUGAUCAUGCUUUUAUGUAAAGAAUUGCUAUUGAUAAAAUCAUAAUUUUUCAUAAAAUAAGGAUCGGCAUAUGUGAUAUGAAAAAGCAUGUUUUAUUAUGAGCAUUGAUUUCAUGAAUAUGUCUUAUAAAAAUGGCAGGAUUAUGAAUUUCAUUAUUUUUCUAUUUAUGUAUAUGUAUGUUUUAAGAAAAAAAAAGAUAAAAAUGAUUUCAAAGGCUCUCAGAUAGCUAUGAAUGAAUCUCUUCGGGAAGUUCGACAUCCGGAGCUAGCAUCCACACGAAACAUGGCCCUGCCAGCAGGUAUAAAGUUGGCACAUGAAUUAAGAACUAUGUCGAUUAAGAAACAUGACCCUGUCAUAGGUAUAAUAGUGAUCUUAGCACGAAUAUCUGUGAGCAAUGAUUUGAAACAUGACAUGAAUACAUGAUGAAAAUGAUUUACGAUUCAUAAUUGUGAAAUAUACAUGACUUAUGCAUGCAUGAUGAGCUU